rnacentral:lncRNA from 1 species
AUGACAGCCAUGUGGGCCAGCGGUGCUGCAGGCCUUUUCCUUCUGCUUCUCCUCCUGUCGUUAAUUGCCUUCUUACUGUACAGAAAGAAGAAUAAAGGCUCAACUGUUAAGGAAAGAAGCAAAGCAGUCAACAUGGCCUCGCAACCAGAAGACGAAGCAGAAUCCGGUGACGUUGCCUAUGCUUCCUUGAACCACCGCUCGCUGAAGACCGAACAUGCAGCCAGUCCUGACCGAGCCCCGGAAUCAUGUAUUUAUGCACUGUUGGCUGAAGGCAGAACAAAGGAGGGCCAAUAGUCAAGCCUUCUCAGGGUUGGGGAUAAUGGGACAUCACUGCAACCUUGAGGCUCAUGGAAAUACUGUACAUCUUAAGGAUGGCUCAUAUAAGCAGGUUUUGCUUGUUUCUCUAUACAAACAUUGUUAUCCAAGCUCAUAAUGGAAACACAGUUGUGGUAACCUAGCUGGCAUAUGGAGAGGGUGCCAUCAGCUACAGGUGUCAAAGUGCACAGAUUUUGACAAACUGAGGUCACCUGGAGAUUUGAGGUAAUGAUUCCCCGCUCCCGCUCCCAUUUCCAACAUCUAUCAUUGCUGUACUAUUUCUUUUAUUUCGAAAAAUAAAUUUAAUGAUUUUGGACUGAGUGUGGAUGGC